rnacentral:lncRNA from 1 species
UGUGGACACUUCUGUGUCUCUCUGUCCUCAGCGGGCUUCCUGAACGUGCUGAUGAACUGUCAGUGGCAGAGUCUGUGGUGUCGGGUGGAGGACGGGGUCCUGAAGAUGUAUCGGGACGAGGCAUCAGAAGAGACCCCUCAGUACACGGUUCAGCUCAGAGGGAGCGAGGUGCGACCCGGCCCGGAUACAGCACACGCGUACCGCAUUACCAUCACACAGCACGGGGACCAGGUGGCUGUGCUAGAGGCGAGUUGUGCAGAUGAUAAAGAGCAGUGGGUUCAGCUCCUGCAGGAUGGGAGUUCAACUGCAGCUGGUUCUCCAUAUCAACACACCAGCCACGAGUCACUGAGUGGUCUGAAAAGCCGCAGGUUUCCCACCUCAAACAUGUACAUGGAUGACCCUUUUCAGCAGCUGUGUGGUCCAUCAGUCCACCCGCAGCCCAUCUAUUCAAACACAUCCAUACUGGAGCACAUGUUUGAGAAACCCUACACUGGUGGAAACGGAGAAUCGGUGUCAUCCAAGGAUUCUGCCAACUACAGCAAUAAUGAAAUCUUCAGCAACCACAGUACAAAUGUGUUUGAGAUUGAGAGAGGUGUGCAGAAGCUGGAUCUGACAGGAAAGAGACGUGUGCAGUUGCGAGCAGGGUCAGAGGUCAACCUCGGGAGCGUGGGGACGAAGCCAGCUAAACGGAACUCCUUCAGACGCUCCCUC